ACAACGUUAUAAAUCAACUAUACUUCAAUAAAAUAAAGUUAAAAACAAACAAGAAGAGUGCCUCUCUGCCGAAUGAUGUACAGUCCUUUUCCACAACGUUGGAGAUGAAGCCGGGCCUUGAGUCUGCGCCUGCAUAUUCCUACAGCUUCUCAGAGUCCUGUGGACAAUGACUGAGGAGAUAAACCAUGCAGCGAGACAUCU